rnacentral:rRNA from 1 species
GAUGAACGCUGGCGGCGUGCCUAAUACAUGCAAGUCGAGCGAACAAACGAGGAGCUUGCUCCUCUGACGUUGGCGGCGGGCGGGUGAGUAACACGUGGAUAACCGACCUAUAAGACUGGGAUAACUUAGGGAAACCGGAGCUAAUACAGGAUAAUAUAUUGAACCGGAUGGUUCAAUAGUGAAAGCCGGUUUUGCUGUCACUAAUAGAUGGAUCCGCGCCGGAUUAGCUAGUUGGCAAGGUAACGGCUUACCAAGGCAACGAUGCGUAGCCGACCUGAGAGGAUGAUCGGCCACACUGGAACUGAGACACGGUCCAGACUCCUACGGGAGGCAGCAGUAGGGAAUCUUCCGCAAUGGGCGAAAGCCUGACGGAGCAACGCCGCGUGAGUGAUGAAGGUCUUCGGAUCGUAAAACUCUGUUAUUAGGGAAGAACAAAUGUGUAAGUAACUCUGCACGUCUUGACGUUACCUAAUCAGAAAGCCACGGCUAACUACGUG